rnacentral:rRNA from 1 species
GGAAUUGACGGGGCCGCACAAGCGGUGGAGCAUGUGGUUAAUUCGAAGCAACGCGAAGAACCUUACCAGGUCUUGACAUCCCCUGACAACCCAAGAGAUUUGGGCCGUUCCCCCGUUCGGGGGGACAGGGUGACAGGUGGUGCAUGGUUGUCGUCAGCUCGUGUCGUGAGAUGUUGGGUUAAGUCCCGCAACGAGCGCAACCCUCGCCUCUAGUUGCCAGCAUUCGGUUGGGCACUCUAGAGGGACUGCCGGCGACAAGUCGGAGGAAGGUGGGAUGACGUCAAAUCAUCAUGCCCCUUAUGACCUGGGCUACACACGUGCUACAAUGGGCGGUAACAAAGGGCUGCGAACCCGCGGAGGGGGAGCGAAUCCCAAAAAGCCGCUCUCAGUUCGGAUUGCAGGCUGCAACUCGCCUGCAUGAAGCCGGAAUCGCUAGUAAUCGCAGGUCAGCAUACUGCGGUGAAUACGUUCCCGGGCCUU